rnacentral:rRNA from 1 species
AGCAGUCGCCGCGGUAAUACGGAGGGUGCAAGCGUUAAUCGGAAUUACUGGGCGUAAAGCGUGCGUAGGCGGUUCGUUAAGUCUGUUGUGAAAGCCCCGGGCUCAACCUGGGAAUGGCAAUGGAUACUGGCGAGCUAGAGUGUGUCAGAGGAUGGUGGAAUUCCCGGUGUAGCGGUGAAAUGCGUAGAGAUCGGGAGGAACAUCAGUGGCGAAGGCGGCCAUCUGGGACAACACUGACGCUGAGGCACGAAAGCGUGGGGAGCAAACAGGGUUAGAUACCCUGUAGUCCCUGUCUCUUAUACA